rnacentral:rRNA from 1 species
AACGAACGUUCGCGGCGCGCCUAACACAUGCAAGUCGCACGAGAAAGGGCUUCGGCCCCGGUACAGUGGCGCACGGGUGAGUAACACGUGGGUAAUCUUCCCUCGAGCGGGGGAUAACAUUCCGAAAGGAGUGCUAAUACCGCAUAAGACCACGGCCUCGAAAGAGGCUGCGGUCAAAGCUGGCCUCUAUACAUAAGCUAGCACUUGAGGAUGAGCCCGCGGCCCAUCAGGUAGUUGGUAGGGUAACGGCCUACCAAGCCAAAGACGGGUAGCUGGUCUGAGAGGAUGAUCAGCCACACUGGAACUGAGACACGGUCCAGACUUCUACGGAAGGCAGCAGUGGGGGAAUCUUGCGCAAUGGGCGAAAGCCUGACGCAGCGACGCCGCGUGAGUGAUGAAGGCC